rnacentral:rRNA from 1 species
ACGAACGCUGGCGGCACGCUUAACACAUGCAAGUCGAACGAGAGAAGAGAAGCUUGCUUUUCUGAUCUAGUGGCGGACGGGUGAGUAACACGUGAGCAAUCUGCCUUUCAGAGGGGGAUACCGAUUGGAAACGAUCGUUAAUACCGCAUAAUAUAAUUGAACCGCAUGAUUUGAUUAUCAAAGAUUUAUCGCUGAAAGAUGAGCUCGCGUCUGAUUAGCUAGUUGGUAAGGUAACGGCUUACCAAGGCGACGAUCAGUAGCCGGACUGAGAGGUUGAUCGGCCACAUUGGGACUGAGACACGGCCCAGACUCCUACGGGAGGCAGCAGUGGGGAAUAUUGCACAAUGGAGGAAACUCUGAUGCAGCGAUGCCGCGUGAGGGAAGAAGGUUUUAGGAUUGUAAACCUCUGUCUUCAGGGACGAAAAAUGACGGUACCUGAGGAGGAAGCUCCGGCUAACUACGUGCCAGCAGCCGCGGUAAUACGUAGGGAGCGAGCGUUGUCCGGAAUUACUGGGUGUAAAGGGAGCGUAGGCGGGAUCGCAAGUCAGAUGUGAAAACUAUGGGCUUAACCCAUAAACUGCAUUUGAAACUGUGGUUCUUGAGUGAAGUAGAGGUAAGCGGAAUUCCUAGUGUAGCGGUGAAAUGCGUAAAUAUUAGGAGGAACACCAGUGGCGAAGGCGGCCUGCUGGGCUUUAACUGACGCUGAGGCUCGAAAGCGUGGGGAGCAAACAGGAUUAGAUACCCUGGUAGUCCACGCCGUAAACGAUGAUUACUAGGUGUGGGGGGACUGACCCCUUCCGUGCCGCAGCAAACGCAAUAAGUAAUCCACCUGGGGAGUACGACCGCAAGGUUGAAACUCAAAGGAAUUGACGGGGGCCCGCACAAGCAGUGGAGUAUGUGGAUUAAUUCGAAGCAACGCGAAGAACCUUACCAGGUCUUGACAUCGUAUGCAUAGCUCAGAGAUGAGUGAAAUCUCUUCGGAGACAUAUAGACAGGUGGUGCAUGGUUGUCGUCAGCUCGUGUCGUGAGAUGUUGGGUUAAGUCCCGCAACGAGCGCAACCCUUACUGUUAGUUGCUACGCAAGAGCACUCUAGCAGGACUGCCGUUGACAAAACGGAGGAAGGUGGGGAUGACGUCAAAUCAUCAUGCCCCUUAUGACCUGGGCCUCACACGUACUACAAUGGCUGUCAACAGAGGGAAGCAAAGCCGCGAGGUGGAGCAAACCCCUAAAAGCAGUCUUAGUUCGGAUUGUAGGCUGCAACCCGCCUACAUGAAGUCGGAAUUGCUAGUAAUCGCAGAUCAGCAUGCUGCGGUGAAUACGUUCCCGGGCCUUGUACACACCGCCCGUCACGCCAUGGGAGUCGGUAACACCCGAAGCCUGUAGUCUAACCGCAAGGAGGACGCAGUCGAAGGUGGGAUUGAUGACUGGGGUG